GUCCAAAAUAGGUAUACAUAUCUGUGUCGACAUUGCAUUGUCACAACAUUAUUUUUUGGUUACAUUGACUUUUUCUCUUUAUAUCCUGGACUGUUUAAAAUGUGUAAGAUUUGUUCUAAUGGACUGCUUUACUCUUUUUACUCUUUUAGGCUUGUCUUCUUUCAGUGAUUUGAUUAGUCUUUAAAAGAUAUUCGGGGAUUAAGUACCUGAGAAUGUGCAAAAAGUUACUUGCAACAGGAAUGACAGAAUUCUGAAAAUAAGAUCAAGAUUGUGCUUUGUUGGCCAUCAGGAGUAUACAUGUGUUGGCAUGCAUCUGCAGACACCCAAUACAACUAUUUCAUGGAAAGUCAAAACUUGAAACACAUGUUGGUGAUCCAAGCCCUUCAACACACUGGUGUCAUGAUGAAUGUGUCUUCACCUACUAUCAGUUUUGUCCAUUCAUCAGGCGAGCCACACUUAUAUUGAGAAAAUGGAUGCAGUUUUAUCCAUUCAUUAGGAUUUGCAAAAUUGGUUACAGCUUUUGCAAGAAAUGCUCACUGAUGAGAAGUAUAUAUUGAGCUGUUGAACCGUGCCAGGAAAUGUCAAUAAUGCAGCCCAAUUCAGAGUAAUGGAAGAAUCUCUGAUGAAAUCUCUUUAUUCACAUUGAGAACACUAGGC